rnacentral:rRNA from 1 species
GAUGAACGCUGGCGGCGUGCCUAAUACAUGCAAGUCGAGCGAACGGACGAGAAGCUUGCUUCUCUGAUGUUAGCGGCGGACGGGUGAGUAACACGUGGAUAACCUACCUAUAAGACUGGGAUAACUUCGGGAAACCGGAGCUAAUACCGGAUAAUAUUUUGAACCGCAUGGUUCAAAAGUAAAAGACGGUCUUGCUGUCACUUAUAGAUGAAUCCGCGCUGCAUUAGCUAGUUGGUAAGGUAACGGCUUACCAAGGCAACGAUGCAUAGCCGACCUGAGAGGGUGAUCGGCCACACUGGAACUGAGACACGGUCCAGACUCCUACGGGAGGCAGCAGUAGGGAAUCUUCCGCAAUGGGCGAAAGCCUGACGGAGCAACGCCGCGUGAGUGAUGAAGGUCUUCGGAUCGUAAAACUCUGUUAUUAGGGAAGAACAUAUGUGUAAGUAACUGUGCACAUCUUGACGGUACCUAAUCAGAAAGCCACGGCUAACUACGUG